rnacentral:misc_RNA from 1 species
GCAACGUUUCACAAUUUAAUGAAUCCUCCACUUAUUUGAUGGGAUGGUUAAGAGAUUACCUAUGGUUAAACUCUUCACAACUUAUUAAUGGAUAUAAUCCUUUUGGGAUGAAUAGUUUAUCAGUAUGGGCUUGGAUGUUCUUAUUUGGACAUCUUGUUUGGGCUACAGGAUUUAUGUUCUUAAUUUCCUGGCGUGGAUAUUGGCAGGAAUUAAUUGAGACUUUAGCAUGGGCUCAUGAACGGACACCUUUGGCUAAUUUAAUUCGCUGGAGAGAUAAGCCCGUGGCUCUUUCCAUUGUGCAAGCAAGAUUGGUCGGAUUAGCCCACUUUUCCGUGGGUUAUAUAUUCACUUAUGCAGCUUUCUUGAUUGCCUCAACAUCAGGCAAGUUUGGUUAAUUUAGUUAUUUUUUUUUGUACUGUAUCAGAACCCAGUUCAUUACUCUUGAUGGAGAGGGAGGAUCCGCCUUUUUAGAUUUUUGCUAUUUAUUUUUCUAUCUAGGAUUAGAACCAUAUACUUGGUAAUAAUAGGAACGGCACAUUAUGGCAAAAAAAAGUUUGAUUCAGAGGGAGAAGAAGCGGCAGAAAUUAGAACAAAAUAUCAUUUGAUUCGUCGAUCCUCAAAAAAAAGAUAAGAAGCAAAGUUUCCCCUUUGAGUUUGAGCGAAAAAACAAAAAUGCAAGAAAAAUUGCAAUCCCUACCACGUAAUAGUGCACCUACAACGCCUUCAUCGACGUUGUUUUUUAACCGGAAGACCUAGAGCUAACUAUCGAGACUUUGGGCUAUCCGGACACAUACUUCGAGAAAUGGUUUAUGCAUGUUUGUUACCGGGUGCAACAAGAUCCAGUUGGUAAGGAUAAAAUACCCUUUCUUUCAUAUUUGUAUGGUUUUCUCGAAUUGAUGAUCGUAGAAGAGCCCUCUUUACCAUUCUGUAUAAAUGGAC